AGGCGCCCACCUGGAGAACGAGGGAAUUUAUUUCAAGUUUUUAAGUUAUCAGGCACCCACCUGGAAAACGAGGGAAUUCAUUUCAGUUUUAAGUUAUAGGCGCCCACCUGGAGAACGAGGGAAUUAAUUUCAAGUUUUAAAGUCAUCAGGCACCCACCUGGAGAAUGAGGGAAUUUGUUUUAAUUUUUAAGUCAUUAUCAGGCGCCCACCUGGAGAACGAGAAAAUUUAUUUCAAGUUUUAAGUUAGCAUCAGGCGCCCACCUGGAGAAUGAGGAAAUUUAUUUCUGUUUAAGUCAUCACAGGCGCCCACCUGGAGAAUGAAGGAAUUUGUUUCAAGUUUUUAAGUCAGCAGACGCCCACCUGGAGAAUGAGGGAAUUUAUUUCGAGUUUUAAGUCAUCAGGUGCCCACUUGGAGAACGAGGGAAGUCAUUUAAGAAUUC
rnacentral:lncRNA from 1 species